ACCGGCCGCGGUACUCUGACCGUGCAAAGGUAGCAUAAUCAUUUGCCUUAUAAUUGAAGGCUAGUAUGAAUGGUUUGAUGAAAACAAAGCUGUCUCCUUUUAAUUUUAUAAAACUUGAUUUUUGGGUGAAGAAGCCCAAAUAAAAUUGAUAGACGAGGAGACCCUAUCGAGCUUAAAAAAAUUUUAUUAAAACAAAGUUGCUUACAAAAGACCAGUUAUAAUAAAAAAUUUUAGUUGGGGCGACUAAGGAACAAUAAAGCUUCCAUUUUUAAUAUUAUAGCAUAUUAGCUAUGAUCCAAAAUCUUUGAUUAAAAGAAUUAGUUACCGUAGGGAUAACAGCAUAAUCUUUUUUAAGAGUUCUUAUCGAAAAAAAGGUUUGUGACCUCGAUGUNGGACUAAAAUAUC
rnacentral:rRNA from 1 species